AUUAAUCUGUUUUGCAUUUUCUAUCUACCGUUUUCCUUUGGUGCCUUUAUUAUGCAAUGAGAAUCAGAACUAUUCUUUACAUUCGUGAAAGAAAACGACGAAAAUGAACAAAGCUUUACUUAUCGUGUUGGUGUUUGGUCUUCUGUUGUGUGCGCACACUGCAGAGGGUUGGCGACGAAGAAGAAGAAGCGGCGAUUCCGCUAGAAUGCCAAUCGCAGCAGA